GAAAAAAGCCGAACAGUGUCAGAAUGUAAAAGACUUAGGGCCGGUUUCUCUAUGUCUGAUUAACAUAACCCUCAACCCGUGGUUGGUUAACCACCUGGUAGUUUGAAUUGACAGUUUCAUUUUCACCAAGUUCUAAUUAGCUGACUUCGGAUUAUUUUGAUUAUUGUGAAUAUUUUACGAAAAAGGUCACAAAAAUUGCUUUGUGAAUACAUAAAAACUGCAUGACAGCUGACAUUUGUUUACAUUUAUUUCAUAAUUUUCAUCCCGCGCAUUUCCAAAUUUUACGCUGCUUAUUUAAUAAUUUUCAUUUGUGUAUAGAAUAAUGGAAAACAAACAAAGAAGGCUUCCAAAUUUCACUAGCACUGAGGAAAAUAUGUUAAUUACGUUGGCGGAGCGGCACGCAAAUCUUAUUGAAAAUAAAAAAACGGAUGCAGUGACCUGGGAGAAAAAGCGGAAGGCCUGGGAAACUAUCGACGUCGAAUUUGAGGCUCAAGUUGGAAUCAGGAGAAGUGCAAAAAAUUUACGCGAAAAAUAUGAGAACUUAAAGAGGAGGGCCAGAAAAUGCUUGGCGGAAGAAAAAAUGGAACUUUAUAAAACAGGAGGUGGAGUAUAUAAGCAGCGGCGGGACAUCAACACAGAAAGCCUUUCAAGAAAUCGAAUAUGUGGACGAUAUUAAUGGGGAUCUGCGCUCCGCUACCGAAACAAUCAAGGAAAGCCCGAUCAAAGACCAAAACAUUGAUAUACGCCUCAACCCCUCGCUUGGAAAAGCACGGUUUCUACAACAACAAUCUUUGAACGACUCUAUGCCAAGUCAAACAGCGAAUGAUGUGGAGAUUAUUCAGGGUGCAGAGAUUGAAAAUACACUUGAUUGGAGCUCAUGGAAUCCAACUAGUUUACGGACGAAAAAAGCUAAUAAGCUGGAGGUCAAAUCAGAGCAGAAAAAAAAAUAAGACCAUUCCCGAUUCCUAUCAUUUGUUUUGGGAGGAAGAAAACAAAAGGGCGGUAGACAAGCAUGCAAUGGCGAACGAAAAGCAUACACUCGAAGUAAAAGAAGCUCAGAUGAAAUUAGAACUUUUGCAAAUAGAAAUUGAUUAUAAGAAACAUAGAAGUUCUAGUCAACUGCUUUAAUCUAUAUCUAUUUCUAAAAGUUAUAAUUUCAUAUUAGAUGUGGUGUUCUGCCGCUGCUUAUAUUGAGAGCAGAAGUUUUAUACUGCUUUUUCUUUCAAAGUUGCAAUUUACAAAAACCCUUUCUAGAAAUUUUAAUUACAAUGUUUAUAAUUGGUAUGAAAAGUUUAUAAAAUUUUUUGGGGCAUAUUCGUAGGCAACAUAAAGUCGACUAUAAAGUUAGCUGCAGCUUUUUCGACAGAUAUUUCCUUGAAAAUAAUGUCAAAAAGCUGCAACUAACUUUGGAGUAGACAUUAUUUUGACUACAAAUAUGCCGCUAGAAUUUUUGAAUUAGUUAAAAAUUUUGAUUUUUAUGGUUUUUGUUAUAUAAUGAGCUAUACUGUUAUAGAAAAACUAACUGAUACCCGCGACUGCGUCUGCGUAGCUUACUACUUUUCGAUAUACCCUUGUGUCAGUUGAUUCAGUCAAGUGACACUUUGACUAGUUUUGGCUAUUUUUCUUUUAUUUAUAAAAGUUUAGCACUUUACCUAUCCAGCGGCACAUAAGUCCACAUUUAAAUCUUCGUACAAAGAUUAUCAAAAUUCAACCUGGUGGUGUCAAUCUGGUGUCUGUCAAAAAUAGAUGUAACAUCUGAACUAUGUUGCCAAUAUUAAUGCUUACUCAGGUAGCUUGCUUAUUAAAAUUGAACUAAGUCGAACCAUAAAUAUGGAUUUUCUGAAAAUUAUUAUAUUGAUAUAGAUAUAGUACGCCGAAGUUAUUUAUAUAUUUUUUGGGUGCUCAUAAUAACUUAGAACCAGUAUUUAUAUUAUUUAAUCUUUUUUUAGUUGUCUACGAUUGAAUAUUCCUUUUGUUUAUUUCGCAAUUGUAAUGAUCUCAUAUGCAGUGCUUAUCAUGAGUGCCGUAUACUCACAUAUUGACAAGAUUUUACCUUUUUUUUAUGAGAGUAUAUUUUAUUCUUUAACAAAAGCCGUAUAAAU